AUAUAUUAUUCAGAUUAUUAAAAAAUUUUCUUUAUAUAGAAAUAAUGAAACUUUGACCCCUCUAGUUCACACAAUGGAGGUUAAGUAGAGAGAAUAUUAGCCUAGGUUAAGUAUUAUACACUCUAUUGCUACUAUUUUUUAUCCUAGAAUUAAAUUGAAUGGUGUUCUUUAUUUACUUGAUAAAUAUCAUGAGUAUAUGUUGACUGAUUCAACUGGUAAUAAAGAAAUAGUUGAACGUUAUUUGUAUGCCAUGUAUAGUUUGUAUGAUGCC
rnacentral:lncRNA from 1 species